GCUGGGUGUGGUGGCUCACACCUGUAAUCCCAGCACUUUGGGAGGCUGAGGCAGGCGGAUCACGUGAGGUCAGGAGCUCUGGACCAGCCUGGCCAACAUGGUGAAACCCUGUCUCUG
rnacentral:SRP_RNA from 2 species